rnacentral:rRNA from 1 species
CAGCAGCCGCGGGAAUACGAGGGGAGCUAGCGUUGUUCGGAAUUACUGGGCGUAAAGCGCGCGUAGGCGGCUUUUUAAGUCAGAGGUGAAAGCCCGGGGCUCAACCCCGGAAUUGCCUUUGAAACUGGAAAGCUAGAAUCUUGGAGAGGUCAGUGGAAUUCCGAGUGUAGAGGUGAAAUUCGUAGAUAUUCGGAAGAACACCAGUGGCGAAGGCGACUGACUGGACAAGUAUUGACGCUGAGGUGCGAAAGCGUGGGGAGCAAACAGGAUUAGAUACCCCCGUAGUCCCUGUCUCUUAUAA